GCCAGUGUGGUGUAGUGGUCUGAGUGAUGGAUGAGAACUCUUGAGACCAGGGUUCGAAUCCCUGCUUGGCCA